CAGCAGCCGCGGUAAUACCAGCUCUCCGAGUUGUAGGGAUGUUUAUUGGGCCUAAAGCAUCCGUAGCCGGCUGGACAAGUCCUCUGUUAAAUCCAGCGACCAAUCGUUGGUCUGCGGGGGAUACUGUCCGGCUAGGGGGCGGGAGAGGCCGUCGGUAUUCCUGGGGUAGGGGUGAAAUCCUAUAAUCCCAGGAGGACCACCAGUGGCGAAGGCUGUCGGCUAGAACGCGCCCGACGGUGAGGGAUGAAAGCUGGGGGAGCGAACCGGAUUAGAUACCCGGGUAGUCCCAGCUGUAAACGAUGCAGGCUAGGUGUUAGGGCGGCUACGUGCCGCUCUAGUGCCGCAGGGAAGCUGUUAAGCCUGCCGCCUGGGGAGUACGGCCGCAAGGCUGAAACUCAAAGGAAUUGACGG
rnacentral:rRNA from 1 species